ensembl:lncRNA
GUGCAGGAGGGCUGAGGAUGUUCUGGGGGUUCUGACAGGGCACAUCAUUGCCGUGUCACGCUGUAUUAUGUCCCUGCAGACCCACCGGACGGCUCUCCGUCGUGUUCGGUGGAGCCCGUGCUGAACCACAGCUCCCUGAGCCUGCAGUGCUCCUGGCCGGGGGGGCUGCCGGCCCCCACCCUCCACUGGACCCGAGGGCUGCUGGGCCUGGGCCAGGAAGUAGCCGUCCCGGGACAGGAAAUAGACAAACUGAGCAACAACGUAACCCUCCCGCCGGCGGUGGCCAGGGCGUCAAACAACACCUUGUUCACCUGCCUGGGCUCGUAUGGCGCCACCAACCACAGAGCCUACUGCAGCAUGCGCACCUAUUCACCGCCGGCGGAGCCUGUGUGUUUCGCCAUCGCGACCCGGAACAACACGUACCUGAUGCUCUCCUGCUCCUGGAACGGGGGGGU